GUGAAUCAUCGAAUUUUUGAACGCAAAUUGCACUCUCUUCUAGGAGGAUGCCUGUUUGAGGUUCAGCCUAAAAAAAAUCGACAUAGUCGCUGUUUUCGCGGUUACAUUCGUCGGAAGGUGGGUCAUCUUAAACCUCGGGGAGUUAAGCGGCGUAAAAUUUUCUUUACGAUUUCUACGGACGUUUCUAAGAGGUACUUCUUACACCCGUUUAAGGUAUCGAUCUUUAUUAGACGUGGCCGGUGUAUCGGAUC
rnacentral:misc_RNA from 1 species